GUGGGUCCUCUAAAUCUCAAUGCAUUUGAUCUAGCAGCAUUAUUUGACCGAAGGCAGAAACAGAAACAAGCUUGAGUUGGUGAUGCAGAAACAGAAACAAGCUUGAGUUAGUGAUGCAGAAAACGAAACAGAAACAUUUGAGCAGGACUUAGAAAAUGCGCUGUGCGAACUGCUGUGCUAGCAGGUAUGAAUUACAUUGAUUAAAAGUUUUUGAGAUCUAUAGCAGCUGAAUUUUGAUUGACAAUGACAAUGCUGUGCUAACUGGUAGGUAUGAUUCAUUUUCUCUUCCAAACGCAUACUUUUGUUGGUCUCUGCUUUGUCCAUGUCUUGAAGCAUAUCUGCUUUGUUAUGCUUCUUCACUUUCUUAUAUCUUAUUUUCAUGUUAUAGUUCAACAUCCAAAGGUUGUCAUUCAAGGUGAUCCAAAGGCUAUCACUAGAGGAUAGAAUGUGACAUACGUGAUGAUUCAUGGUCUAUAUUGCUCACCGACUGGCAUUACUUACAUUGAUAGUGAUUCCCUUGCUAGAAUUGUAGUGCACCAUGCCCAAUGCUAUAUAAUUUUUUGUAUCCACAGGUACCAGAAAAGUCUGCAAAAGAUUGCUUUGAUAGAAUCCAUGCCAAUUUUGCAACUCCGCCUCAACACCAGCCACGUUCAAGAGCCAAGAAAGCUGAUUUAUCUCCAAUAGUCCAUUUUGCAUUCGGAGACAAACCUCUAGAUGGCACAAAGUUGAAAAUCAGAAAGGCAAGGGGAACUCCAGAUUCUUUGUUUACUACAGGUUUUCUGAUGAAGUGCAGUGAGAGGUCUUCCUCAGCUCAUAAGAGGCCUUUGUCUAGGUUUAAAACAAAUGAUGUAGAUCCAAAUCCAGAGGUUCUGAAGCGGAUUAAGAAUGUUGCUUUGCAUGAGAGAUAUAUUGAUCAUCUACAUUGUAUAGAAGCAAGAAGAAGGAGAACAUACCAUGGUAAAGAAAACCAUGUCGUUAGUUGCAUUAAUAUGAAUGAUACCAGGCCACAAUCUAGAGUAAAUAAAAGUUACGAUGGUUACUUUAAUGACUGAAGCCCAAUCAGUUAUCAGCCAUUUUCAGGACAGGCAGGUGAAUGCAUUGGAUUAUGAUGAUGAUAGUAGUUCUGCAGGGAACUGUAGUUUUGAUUUGGAUGACGACGCAUGAGCAAAUCUUCUUUCACUUUACAAGUUCGGCUGUGAAGAUGAAUUCAUCAAUAUUCAACGCUCAACAUCUGGUUGAAGUACAAAUCCUUGGAAAAACAAAAAACUUCUGGGCUUCAGUUCCUAUAGCUUGAAAAUGUAUUUUGUUUUUGCUAGUAGAAGACUAAUGAAUUUGGAUCACCUCUUUUGUCUUUUUAGAAAUGGAUUAGAAGGUUA